UGCUGCGUUUACCCAGAGGGCAGUUAAGAGUCAACUGCGUUGCUAUAUGUCUGGAGUCCCAUGCAGACCAGACCAGAUCCCAGUGAUCAGUGCCAAAGCCCCAUUGCCUGUGGAGAGGGUGAUGUUUGAUUUCCCUGUCCAGCUGCAGUUCAUGUGGUGAAGGUGCUCCCACAAUGUGGUUGGGGAUCUGCACUGGAACCCUUCUGUUUGCGGGACAAAUAUAUAUAAGUGACAUGGAUUAAAAUCUAAUUUGGUCAACACAUUCAUGAACCAAGCAAUGAUUCCUCAUCCAACACUCACAGGAAAUAUCUGAUGCCUUCUCAUUUGAAUGUUCACAGAAAUCAUUGGAUUAAUAUUACAAAUGAAGUUACAUCUAAUUGUUUUAGACUCCAAUCAUUA